rnacentral:rRNA from 1 species
GACGAACGCUGGCGGCGUGCUUAACACAUGCAAGUCGAACGGUGAAGCGCCUUCCUUUUUGGUGGGUGUGGAUGAGUGGCGAACGGGUGAGUAACACGUGAGUAACCUGCCCCCUUCUUCUGGAUAACCGCAUGAAAGUGUGGCUAAUACGGGAUAUUCUGGGUCUGUCGCAUGAUGGGUCUGGGAAAGAUAUUGUUUCGGUGGGGGAUGGGCUCGCGGCCUUUCAGCUUGUUGGUGGGGUGAUGGCCUACCAAGGCGGUGACGGGUAGCCGGCCUGAGAGGGUGGACGGUCACACUGGGACUGAGACACGGCCCAGACUCCUACGGGAGGCAGCAGUGGGGAAUAGUGCACAAUGGGCGCAAGCCUGAUGCAGCGACGCCGCGUGAGGGAUGGAGGCCUUCGGGUUGUGAACCUCUUUCGCCAGUGAAGCAGGACUGCCUCGUGUGUGGGUGGGUUGACGGUAGCUGGAUAAGAAGCGCCGGCUAACUACGUG